rnacentral:tRNA from 1 species
GUUCCUGUAGCGCAAUAGAUAACGCGUUGGACUUCUAAUUCAAAGGUAGUGGUUUCGAAGCCCACCAGGGAUG